ensembl:lncRNA
UUGUGACCCUGUGCAGGGGUCAGAGAGCACACUGAGUCCUCAGGCUUUCUUGAAGAGGAUCAGGAGAUGAGGCGAGGCAAGCAGACAGACAGCAGACAGGUGCAAAAGACCAAACACAGACAGGAUUUUGUCAAGAAAAACAUUGAGCUUGCUGGUGGAGCAGGAGGCCUGAUGAUGACACAUAAGGAGAAAGAGCGCCUUGAGGAGAUCCUCAAUGAUGAGUCUUAUGAUGAUCCAUCAGCCAAACCUAAGCCUGGCGAAGGCUAUCAGCCGGACGAGGCCCAGCUCAACCAGUUGUUUCAGAUCGAUGCCAGGCUGCAGCUCCUGCUUCCUGUUGAGGACUUUCUGUUUGUGCAAAGCCCCUAUGCUGCCCACAGCUCCUCUCAGGGCGGGCACUUCGGUUCGGAUGGAGAGCGAGGUGGGGAGCUGAUGGCUGGGGGGAAGACCCCACAGGAGCUGACGGAGGCUAGAGAUAAAGGCGAGUGCCUGCAAGACAUCCAGCAGCAACUGCAGCACCUGGGGCACAGCCAGCAGGCCAUGGUGAGUUUAAAGGGGCUAGCAUU